UACGUAGGGUGCGAGCGUUGUCCGGAAUUAUUGGGCGUAAAGAGCUCGUAGGCGGUUUGUCGCGUCGGCCGUGAAAACUUGGGGCUUAACUCCAAGCUUGCGGUCGAUACGGGCAGACUUGAGUUCGGCAGGGGAGACUGGAAUUCCUGGUGUAGCGGUGAAAUGCGCAGAUAUCAGGAAGAACACCCGUGGCGAAGGCGGCUCUCUGGAACGCAACUGACGCUGAGACGCGAAAGCGUGGGGAGCAAACAGG
rnacentral:rRNA from 1 species